ensembl:lncRNA
GGCCGCCGAGGCCCGGCGCUGGCGGCUCCGCGCCCAGCAGGUGGCAGCGCGGCCACGGGCUGCGGCCGGCCGGCGGCCUUGGGCUGAAGAUUAAAUUAGCCCUCGUAAAGAUUUAUUAAAGCUCGGUGGCUGAGGCCGGGGAAGGUAUUUGGAUGUGGGCGGUGGCCCAGCUCCCUCCCCCGGGAUUCGCGCUUCCCCCGAGAGGCGCCGCGAGCCGUGGCGGCGGGCGCAGGCCGGGCGUUGCGGCAGCGCUGGCAGCGCCCUCGCCCCCAGAGAACAGCCCCCGGCAAACCCCGGGGCAGGGCCGCCUCCUGUGCUGGGCUUCUGAAGCACCUGAAGCCCAUCAGCACACCUGGGCAGAGAUCUGUUCCUGCGCUUGAAGGGAAGUCAUUAAGGGAGGGCGGGGAGGGCUGAGGAGGGGGCUUCUGCCUUCGCAGCGUAGGUCGGUGUAAGUGCACCUGCUGUGGGCUCUUCAGUCCUGCACUGGGAGGUGAAGCCAAAACAGGGAAGUGAAAGCAGAAGAAAGGACGGCUCUGUGCAGUGCUUUGGGUGGUGGGAAUGGCUGCCCAAACAGCGGGAUACAACUCCAGGCCAGGCAGCACCCUGUGCAUUUUUGCCCCCUCCUCUGGAGCGUGGUGCAAGCCCAUAGCCUUCUGUCUUGAGCAAGAGCAGCUCCUGUCCUGUCUGGAGAAAAGCCAUGUGCAGGUGUGGGUGUGCGGGGAAAGGAGCUAAGCCUCCUGGAGGGGCUGUGUGGGGCUGUGCCUGCCAUGGGGGGCAGGAGCUCGGCUCCUUGCACUGCAGCAUCGCCGUGUCCCCGGCCAGCAAUGCCUGCGUGGGCUGCGCUGUGUUCACCUGGCUCCGUCUGCCAGCUUCUGGCAGGCUUCCUGACCGUGCUGAGCAGGGGAAAGUGGACCCUGGAGCAAAGCCGUUCCUGCAGGUGUGUGAAUGAAGUUGGAGAAAGUCCUUCAGUACGCAGAACCACUGCUCAGACACGAUCAACACCCAACUGCAGAAGUUUUGAACCGUCCAAGAAGUGAAGAUUUUGGAAGUGGAGGUCUCCCCUUCUGCCUUGAACCCGGCCGGUAUUGCCACCAACCAGUAUUUUCUUCCCUGGGUGAAAAGCACUUACGGGAACUCAUUUGCUGUGUGCUGAGGACAAAGCAUCUCGAGUUCACGGUAAGAUACAUCAACCUUGGGUUUUGCUAUUUAUGUAUUUACUUCUUUUUUUUUUUUGGCUUUGCUUUCCUUAAAUUAAAAAGAUUGAGCAGGGUCUUUUACAACAAUGUAAGCACACUUCAUUCCACGCUGUUCUUCAUCACAUGCUGUUCUCAGCUAAAAUACCAAUAAUUAAAUGGCACACCUGCUGGACAGCGAGUCCUUACGGUGCUGGCAGGCCAGGCGGCGCCGCAGUGCCCACGCUGCCCAACAUCACUUGUGUUCUUGCCAUCGAUCUGCCUGGGGGCUAAGCGCUGAGCGCUGCUUGGCUUCGCUGGGUGACUGACCAAGGCUGCUCCAGGUACUGAAAAAGUGUCACCUCCUUGCAAUGAAGACUCCUUGAAGCAGAAAUGCUAAAAUUUCCUCAGUGCCUCCUGUCUCUGCAAAGGAUAUGAUAGAAGACAAUUUUGCAUAAUCUUGUUUGACUAAUGCUCUUAUUUUUAAUGAACCGUUUCAGACUGCGCCUUGAAGGAAGAAGGCAACAAAGGAGAAAAUUUCCUACUUCUGAUAGCUCAUUCUGUCUCAAAAAAGAGAAAUUUGGCAAAAGUACUAGACAUUUGCUAGGAAUUAGAUAUUGACAGCAAGUAUAGGAAUGUCCCAGAUUUCCUGCCUAUAAAAACAGAAAAUGCUGUCUCUGUUUAAGGAAUAUUAAGAAGAUAUACACAUCGUAUUAACGUAGUCCUUCAAAUAUUUAUGUCCCAGUCUUGCAGAUGUUAACACGUUGUGGUCUUGAGCAGAUCCUGUGGAGGUCACAGAAAGGUGUUUGUACUCCUCCAAGAUCUGUGGAUGGAGAGCCCAGCAUCUCUGCUUUUGUGGGAGUUAAGUUCUUAAAGCAUAACAGGCCAGGCCCUAAAUUUUCUGUCUUAACACCGAGUACCCUAUUGUGGUAUUUAAAAGCAUAGAUAAAGAUUUAGCUUUGUAAAAUGAUACCAUAUUUCCAGGAUGAACUUCUUAGUAAAGUAAUUUAUGUGUCUCACUUAAAUUCUUUUCUUCAGCUUCAUGCCCGAGAAUUCUCUCUGCAUUUUUUUAUAGUCAAUAGAAGUUCUUAACUAACGGUGUGGGUGAUAGUGACAAUUAGUGGAAGAUUAAGGCAGCCAAAUUGAGUAUACUCCAGAGAGACCUUGGAGCCCAGCUUUACACGCUUCUUUCCAUAUGAAACUUUAAACAUCGGACUGUUAAGAAGCACUGGUACUGCGCUUCAGAAGGGGGGUGUCUUAAACAGAAGUGCAGCUCUCACAACUGGAGUUACUCUGCUAAUUCCUUCUGAUUCUGACGUUGUAGAGUGAGUAGGUAGGUGCUCUUUUUUUUGCUUAAAAAGCUUGCACAUAGCAUGGAUGGAGCAGGGGAAAAUGAGCCCGUACUAGAAGGGCUGAUUUAGAAGGAAAUAGAUUGCAGAUUCCUGAAAAAAACAUGCUUAGUGUUAUGGGUUACUAAUGUAAUAAAUGUCACAGAGAGGUUAUGUUUUACUUGAAG